rnacentral:rRNA from 1 species
GACGAACGCUGGCGGCGUGCUUAACACAUGCAAGUCGAACGGAAAGGCCCUGCUUUUGUGGGGUGCCCGAGUGGCGAACGGGUGAGUAACACGUGAGUAACCUGCCCUUGACUUUGGGAUAGCUUCAGGAAACGGGGGCUAAUCUCGGAUAGGAGCUCCUGUUGCAUGGUGGGGGUGGGAAAGUUUCGGCGGGUGGGGAUGGACUGGCGGCUGAUGGGUUUGUUGGUGGGCGAGUGGCUUACCAAGGCAUUGACGGGUAGCCGGCAUGAGAGGGUGACCGGCCACAUUGGGCCUGCGAGACGGCCCAGAGUCCUACGGGAGGCAGCAGUGGGGAAUAUUGCACAAUGGGCGGAAGCCUGAUGAAGCAACGCCGCGAGCGGGAUGACGGCCUUCGGGUUGUAAACCGCUUUCGCCUGUGACGAAGCGUGAGUGACGGUAAUGGGUAAAGAAGCACCGGCUAACUACGUG